ACGCACGCUGGCGGCGUGCCUAAUACAUGCAAGUGGGACGCAAGGAAACACACUGUGCUUGCACACCGUGUUUUCUUGAGUCGCGAACGGGUGAGUAACGCGUAGGUAACCUGCCUAUUAGCGGGGGAUAACUAUUGGAAACGAUAGCUAAUACCGCAUAAUAUUAAUUAUUGCAUGAUAAUUGAUUGAAAGAUGCAAGCGCAUCACUAGUAGAUGGACCUGCGUUGUAUUAGCUAGUUGGUAAGGUAAGAGCUUACCAAGGCGACGAUACAUAGCCGACCUGAGAGGGUGAUCGGCCACACUGGGACUGAGACACGGCCCAGACUCCUACGGGAGGCAGCAGUAGGGAAUCUUCGGCAAUGGACGAAAGUCUGACCGAGCAACGCCGCGUGAGUGAAGAAGGUUUUCGGAUCGUAAAGCUCUGUUGUAAGUCAAGAACGUGUGUGAGAGUGGAAAGUUCACACAGUGACGGUAGCUUACCAGAAAGGGACGGCUAACUACGU
rnacentral:rRNA from 1 species